UGACACUGAACACUGGUCCUUGAUGUGUAGGAUAGGUGGGAGGCUUUGAAGCGUGGACGCCAGUCUGCGUGGAGCCGUCCUUGAAAUACCACCCUUUAAUGGCUGGUGUUCUAACGUAGACCCGUGAUCCGGGUUGCGGACAGUGUCUGGUGGGAGGU
rnacentral:rRNA from 1 species